ensembl:antisense
AUUCCUCUCAACCACCGGAAGGUUGUUUUUGCCUCACCGAAGAAGUAUUCCUCAGAAGUUGUGGAGUUUGACAAUCCGUGCUCCCUGCUCUUCCAAUCUUCCCAAUGAAGUUCCUGGUAUUCCUUGUGUUGAUUUGUGCCUCUACUAUCCUGGUCUUUUGUUUGCUGAGAUUGUUGAGAUGGUACUCGGGAAGUUCAUAGAUGGUUAUAACUUUAUAUCCAGAAGAAGAGGACUCAAUUUGUAAACCUCCUUACUUUUUAUUCAUUUGUAGGUGUCAUGAUUAUUCUCUGUAGUUUUAUAAGGUAGAUUCAUAUUUUCUUAUAAGAUAUGUCAAGGAUUCUGUGAACCUGCCUGACUUAAUGAAAUAAGAUGUUUUUGGAUCUACUAUUUAGACUUCUCCACCUACCUUCAGUUUUAUUUUCUCUAACUAUUUACACUGAUGGCUGUAUCCUUCAUCUAUAACUUUCAUCUUAUU